UGGGGUGUGGCUCAGUAGAGUGCCUGCCUCAUACGUGUGACGCUCUGGGUUCGAACCUCAGCACCACAU
rnacentral:tRNA from 1 species